AGACCUACGGGGCGCAGCAGUGAGGAAUAUUGAUCAAUGGCCGGAAGGCUGAACCAGCCAAGCCGCGUGAAGGACGAAGGUGCCAAGCAUUGUAAACUUCUUUUGUCAAGGGACAAAAUCAGGCUCGAGAGCCUGACCGAGGGUACUUGAAGAAAAAGCAUCGGCUAACUCCGUGCCAGCAGCCGCGGUAAUACGGAGGAUGCGAGCGUUAUCCGGAUUUAUUGGGUUUAAAGGGUGCGUAGGCGGACUGUUAAGUCCGCGGUAAAAGCCCGGGGCUCCACCCCGGCGAGCCGUUGGAACUGGUG
rnacentral:rRNA from 1 species